UAAGACUUCUAGUUUUUUUUGUUUAUAACUGCAUUCAGCAAUAAUACACAAGUAAAGCACCAAAAAAUCCAGUGUAAAAAUUUUAAUGUAAAUAUCACAUGAAGCAAGAAUCACUGAAACAUGAAGAAUGAGUCAGUCACACUAGCUAUUGUAACAUGACAUUCUACUGAGUAGCAGUUUCAUAGUUUUGUUUCAAAAUGUACUGUCCACAUGUUCAUUGACUGUGUUUAUAGAGGAACAAUUGGGUCUACCGUUUUUUGUUUUUUUCACAAUGAAGUCACCAAUUCAUUUCUUCCUAGUGUUUUUUAUAGCAGAGUAGAACUUAACUGUAUCAAAUACCAGUAGUUUCUGAUUUUAAAGCAAUGGAACUAGACUGAAUAGAGACAAGACAUUUUUGUUUUUAUUUAAAAACUUAAGAAAAUAUUUGUAUUGUGUUGUAAAGUAGAAACACACGUUCACAUUUAGUUUAUUUGAUUUUCUAACCAAAUAAAUAGGCGAAGACAAUUUUUUAAAUCUAGGAAUGGAGUCAAUUUAGUGAUGGUAUUACAAUGUCAGUGGAAUAAAAUACAACCAUCAGUUCUGCAUAUUACAUUAUUUUAUAAACAAAACAGGUCAACAACAAUUUUGGAUCUGGAUACACUUUUAGGAAUGCUUGACAUUUUUGUAACCCUCACAUUGGAGAACAUUCUGAACUGUAGAAUUUGUUAACAAACUAAGAAAAAAGGCAUUUAUGUAAAAAAGUGUAAUUUAAAAUUCAAGCCCUCACAUCAAUACUGUGCAUAUACAAAACUCAACACUCUAGCAAAUAGCAAAGAACAUAGAGCUUUAAAUAUUUUUCUUUUCUGAAAUACUGAAUUGUACGAUUGGAUCAGGUGAAUGAUUCAAUCAGGAGCAGAAACAAGAAGUUUCCAAGGUUUUCAAUACAUCACAUCAUAGUAGUAGCCUAUAGAUUCUGUUUCGUUUGUCCUACUUGAGAGAGAUGCCAUUAAACUGAAUA